UACAGAGGGGGCGAGCGUUGUUCGGAAUUACUGGGCGUAAAGGGCUCGUAGGCGGCCAACUAAGUCAGACGUGAAAUCCCCAGGCUCAACCUGGGAACUGCGUCUGAUACUGGUUGGCUUGAAUCCGGGAGAGGGAUGCAGAAUUCCAGGUGUAGCGGUGAAAUGCGUAGAUAUCUGGAGGAAUACCGGUGGCGAAGGCGGCAUCCUGGACCGGCAUUGACGCUGAGGAGCGAAAGCCAGGGGAGCAAACGGG
rnacentral:rRNA from 1 species